GACGAACGCUGGCGGCGUGCCUAAUACAUGCAAGUCGAACGAGAGCAGCCGGUGCUUGCACUGGUCAAUCUAGUGGCGAACGGGUGAGUAACACGUGGGUAACCUGCCCAUCAGAGGGGGAUAACAUCCGGAAACGGAUGCUAAAACCGCAUAGGUCUUCGAACCGCAUGGUUUGAAGAGGAAAAGAGGCGCAAGCUUCUGCUGAUGGAUGGACCCGCGGUGCAUUAGCUGGUUGGUGAGGUAACGGCUCACCAAGGCCGUGAUGCAUAGCCGACCUGAGAGGGUGAUCGGCCACAUUGGGACUGAGACACGGCCCAAACUCCUACGGGAGGCAGCAGUAGGGAAUCUUCCGCAAUGGACGCAAGUCUGACGGAGCAACGCCGCGUGAGUGAAGAAGGUGUUCGGAUCGUAAAACUCUGUUGUUAGAGAAGAACAAGUGCUAGAGUAACUGUUAGCGCCUUGACGGUAUCUAACCAGAAAGCCACGGCUAACUACGUG
rnacentral:rRNA from 1 species